CGACACGUGACUCUGUAACCAAAAUCAAGUAUGGCGGAAUCUGUCAGAAAAUGAUUAUUUCGCCAGUAGACUUCCCUAGUGGUAAAGUCAACAUAUUUAUUCUGCAUCUUUCUCCGUACAGGGCCGCCUCUUGGAGCUUCUAGUGUUUUUUUUUUUAAAGGCUGGUACAAGUGAGCGGGUGUCUCUGAUUGGAUUACCUGAACAGUAGGCUGUAAGGUGGAGGACUGUUUCCUGUUGCUGACCAGUGAAGACACUUGUGGGUGGUUGUGUUUCCUGUUGCUGAUCAGUGAAGACACUUGUGGGUGGUUGUGUUUCCUGUUGCUGACCAGUGAAGACACUUGUGGGUGGUUGUGUUUCCUGUUGCUGACCAGUGAAGACACUUGUGGGUGGUUGUGUUUCCUGUUGCUGAUCAGUGAAGAGACCUGUGGGUGAUUGUGUUUCCUGCUGAGGAGUACUGUGGCCCUGAUCUUGGUACACAUCAGACCAGCCCCCUUCCCUACACACACACUAACCCCCCCGACCCACCCACACACACUCCACCUAUCCCGUCGUCCUCCUCUCCAGGCCGUAUAUUUUACAACUUCACUGUGGAUUCUCCAAGGACCAUCCUGUUAACAAUGACAUCACACAGUCACCAAGAAAAUGUCAUUUGUGCACAUGAUUGAAUAUACAGUAUGAUGCUGUGAAGUGUCCUACUGUUCCGCCUGUGUUCGUCAAAUUGCGUCCAUGACAAAGAGGUAGGCUAACUAAAGGUCUCUACUGUUGUGGAUGGUGCGAUUGGCCGUGUUUACCUAACACACUGGGGGAUGUGUGCACUAUAAAUAUCCUCGCCCAGGUAACAUCUGGAGGGCCCCUGAGAAGGCUGAGGUAACCCCUCCAGCCAUAAAGUAUAUCUUAUGAAUGAUUCCUGACAAUACCAGGACAAGAAAAUAUCAUGAUUUUCUCAAAAUUGUAUUCAUAGGAU
rnacentral:lncRNA from 1 species